rnacentral:rRNA from 1 species
AAACCAGCACCUCAAGUGGUCAGGAUGAUUAUUGGGCCUAAAGCAUCCGUAGCCUGCUCUGUAAGUUUUCGGUUAAAUCUGUACGCUCAACGUACAGGCUGUCGGGAAUACUGCAGAUCUAGGGAGUGGGAGAGGUAGACGGUACUCGGGAGGAAGUGGUAAAAUGCUUUGAUCUCUCGAUGACCACCUGUGGCGAAGGCGGUCUACCAGAACACGUCCGACGGUGAAGGAUGAAAGCUGGGGGAGCAAACCGGAUUAGAAACCCGAGUAGUCC